UUUUAUGGCGGCUGUGCGUGGGGCAUCUUCGGGUGCACCGGGUUGUUGCUCCUCCGGUCUGUCAACCCGCGUACAGCUGCCACCCAC
rnacentral:antisense_RNA from 2 species